UAGGCCUUGUGGAACUAGCCCACAGCCCCUGCAAAGCACCUAAAAGCCAUAUGGUUGCCAAAUAUUGUACAUCUAAUUAUACAAACAGAAGGUUCUUUUAACUGUCCUAGGAAGUCUGUGUUUCAUUUGUGUUCCCCACUAUUUCCAGGGUGAUCUUUUUCAAAUAUAACAUUAUCAUGACUAUCCCAUCCUAAAAACCUUCAACGGCUCUCAUUUGUCUAUAAGAUAAAACCAAGAUUCCUAAGAAGAAUUUCAAGACCCCUAAUGAUCCAGCUCUUACAUUUAUCUCCUUCUUCUUUUGUGUUUCUCUCCCCACCUCACCUACCUCCAUGCCACCAAUAGAUGGAAGCAAAAUGGAAGUGGUGGUGUUCCUUCCAACUCCCCGUGACCACCCCGUGUUGGCUCGGAGAUCAAAGGUCAGAGACACUGACUGCUAAUGGAAGAACUGCUACUUGAAAAGCACUAUCCGUCCAUUUUCUCAUCAGAUCCUCAACAACUCUACAAGUGAGAGCUGGUAUCUGCUCGGAGAAUCAGGUCAUGCAGACCCUGGACAAGCUCUAUUUAUUCCAGAGGAAGGAAGCAGAGGAAGAUUGCAUGGUGAAGUUGGAUUGCUGAGGCAAAUGAUUCUCUGUCACACGACCUGGAACAAAGGUUUGGGCCAGAAAUGGCCUAGGGAAUGGUGGGUCUGCUCAGUUCUGUCCCCUAAUUGCUUUUCUUCCCUUUGCUUUCAUGGCAUAUGUAUGUGAUUUCAUAGGUUUAACCAUCUGUUUAGUGCCUACAUUGGGCACAACAGGACUGUUAAUACUGGGUCGUAUAGGGUCAAAGCUGAUCCAUAAAACUUAAUGUUUGGCAUUUCUCAGUCUGUAUUUAGUUUCUUAACAUACCCUUAAAUUCACAAGAGUUUAUGUAUUGUUCCUUUCAUACCUUUACUUAUCAGCUGACUCUAAUACACUCAUGAGCUGAAGAGCCAAAGAGAAUUUGGAGUUCUGGGGGAGGUGCCCAACUGCUUUUGUCAUUAAUACAGGAAUUAGCAUUUGUUAGACACAUACAAAAUUCCAGGCACUGUGCUGCUGGGCUUAAAAUCUUCUCUCACUUAAUCCCUACAGUAUUCCUGUUGGUGGAUGACACAAUCCUUGUUUAAGAGAGAAAAAAGCCAGGACCCAGAGAGGCAAAGUAACUUGCCCAAGCACACACAGCUUGCUGAGUGAGAGAGUGGGGAUUUGACACCAGUUUAAUGUGAUGGUGGGCCCAUGAUCCUGGGCCGUACUGCUUCCCAAGAGCGCUAUCUUAAGUUUACGUGACCUCUUCAUCUUUAGGCUGGGUAGGCAAGUAGAAUUUCUGCUAACUUCAGUCAGUUAGUAGUAAGUGUCUGGAAUGCUGCUUUGAGAGAGAUCCUUGUUGGGAUCUGUGGUCACUUAACAGUGUCUGCCGUGUGUGCUUGGGGGAGAACGAGCAUCCCCUGGCCUUCUCCUCAGGUUGCCAGGAGACACAGCCCACCUCCUGGCAGAAUUGUGCCUGUGUGAAAUUUGUAUUGGGUGGUAAUGUGUAUCAACAAGUAGCCUGAUGCUUAGAAGUUGGUAGCAUUGUAUGGUUCACAACCGGUCGGGAAGAAACUUUGGCAAAAAGAACACUUUGCCCUCACCACUCUGGACAAACUAUCAAGUUGUAGUCAAUCAGCACUUCAGGGGCUCAUUCUGGGAGGAAGAACACACCUGAAGGUACCCUGGAAAUACCUAGGGUAUCACA
rnacentral:lncRNA from 1 species